CUUGGUGUCGGGAGGGUGGGGGAGGCGACGUGGCGGCACGGACGCCACCGUGGGCGCCAGGAGCUCGGGGAGGCGGUCAAGGGGCGGCUCCCUUGGGGCGGAGCGGGUCACUGUGCACGCGCAAGCAUCACAGUAGUAGAGCAAGGAGUGAUGCUAAAAGCCUUACUGGAAUGUCCUUUUGAUCCACAGCACCACUUUGCAUCACAUUCGUUCAUUCCAGGAAGGACGUUCCAGAACAGGAGAGAACUUCAGUUGCAAAAAGCACAGUGAGAUGAUACCCAGUGCUGUUUGGGAACAGAGUGCUUGGUGGGAAAGUUAGGUCAGGUCAGAAUAUCCUGCCCUUGGGAAAAAUUGGGCGUGACUUCCAUGUCUUUUGUUUUGUUUUGUUUGUUUUUCGAGACAGGGUUUCUCUGUGGCUUUGGAGGCUGUCUUGGAACUAACUCUUGUCUGGUCUCGAACUUACAGAGAUCCACCUGCCUCUGCCUCCCGAGUGCUGGGACUAAAGGCGUGCGCCACCACCACCUGGUGACUUACAUGUCUUGUCCCAAGACUGAAUAUUCUUUCCAGAUAGACUCACCCUGUCUUGAGUACCCUGUGUCAGAAACAUGAACAAACAUAUUUGUGUCUUUCCACAUCUGAAUUUAUUGAGUAACAAUAAAUUAACAAGCUAUCUGGGUCUCCUUGGCCACAAUUA